GGAUUAGAUACCCUGGUAGUCCACGCCGUAAACGAUGGAUACUAGCUGUUCGAUUUUCGGAUUGAGUGGCUAAGCGAAAGUGAUAAGUAUCCCACCUGGGGAGUACGUUCGCAAGAAUGAAACUCAAAGGAAUUGACGGGGGCCCGCACAAGCGGUGGAGCAUGUGGUUUAAUUCGAUGAUACGCGAGGAACCUUACCAGGGCUUAAAUGUAGUGUGACAGGUCUAGAAAUAGACUUUUCUUCGGACACAUUACAAGGUGCUGCAUGGUUGUCGUCAGCUCGUGCCG
rnacentral:rRNA from 1 species